rnacentral:lncRNA from 10 species
GACGGCCUAUUGUGGGACCUUGUGAUCGUGUGAGUUAAUACUUAAUAAACUCCCCUUCAUAUAUAUAUGUAUUUCUUUUUUUUUUUUUAACACAGUCUUGCUGUCUCUAGGCUGGAGUGCGGUGGUGCAAUCUUGGCUCACUGCAACCUCCGCCUCCUGGGUUCAAGCGAUUCUCCUGCCUCAGCCUCCAGAUAGCUGGGACUACAGGCACACGCUGCCAUGCUUGGCUAAUUUCUUGUAUUUUAGUAGAGACGGGGGUUUUACUGUGUUGCCCAGGCUGGUCUCGAACUCCUGAGCUCGGGCAAUCCGCCCGCCUCAGCUUCCCAAAGUGCUGGGAUUACAGGCAUGAGCCACUGCACCUGGCCCCCCUCUCUCUCUCUCUCUAUAUAUAUAUAUCUCCUAUUAGUUCUGUUUCUCUAAGAGAACCUGACUGGCCGUGUGUGGUGACUCACGCCUGUAAUCCCAGCACUUUGGGAGACCGAGGUGGGCAGAUCAUCUGAGGUCGGGAAUUCCAGACCAGCCUGGCCAACAUGGAGAAACCUCGUCUCUACUAAAAAUACAAAAUUAGUCAGGUGUGGUGGCGCACACCUGCAAUCCCAGCUACUCGGGAGGCUGAGGCAGGAGAAUCGCUUGAACCUGAGAGGCGGAGGUUGCAGUGAGCCGAGAUCACGCCAUUGCACUCCAACCUGGGCAACAAGAGUGAAACUACGUCUCAAAAAUAAAUAAAUAAAUAAAUAAAUAAAUAAAUAAAUAAAUAAAA